rnacentral:rRNA from 1 species
UACGAAGGGGGCUAGCGUUGCUCGGAAUCACUGGGCGUAAAGCGCACGUAGGCGGAUCUUUAAGUCAGGGGUGAAAUCCCAAGGCUCAACCUUGGAACUGCCUUUGAUACUGGGGAUCUCGAGUCCGGAAGAGGUGAGUGGAACUGCGAGUGUAGAGGUGAAAUUCGUAGAUAUCGCAAGAACACCAGUGGCGAAGGCGGCUCACUGGUCCGGUACUGGACGCUGAGGUGCGAAAGCGUGGGGAGCAAACAGGG